rnacentral:rRNA from 1 species
UACAGAGGGUGCAAGCGUUGUUCGGAAUUAUUGGGCGUAAAGGGCGCGUAGGCGGUUUGGUAAGUCUUGUGUGAAAUCUCCAGGCUCAACUUGGAGUCUGCACGAGAAACUGCCGGGCUUGAGUGUGGGAGAGGUGAGUGGAAUUCCUGGUGUAGCGGUGAAAUGCGUAGAUAUCAGGAGGAAUACCGGUGGCGUAGACGGCUCUCUGGACCGCCACUGACGCUGAGACACGAAAGCGUGGGUAGCAAACAGG